GAUGAACGCUAGCGGCAGGCCUAACACAUGCAAGUCGAGGGGCAGCACAGGAAAGUAGUAAUACUUUUGGGUGGCGACCGGCGGACGGGUGCGUAACGCGUAUACAACCUGCCUUCUACUGGGGGAUAAUUCGGAGAAAUCUGGUCUAAUACCCCAUAACAACCGAUGAGGCAUCUCAUUGGUUUAAAAGCUCCGGCGGUAGAAGAUGGGUAUGCGUGACAUUAGACAGUUGGUGGGGUAACGGCUCACCAAGUCGACGAUGUCUAGGGGGACUGAGAGGUUCACCCCCCAGAGUGGUACGUACACACAGACCAGACUCCUACGGGAGGCAGCAGUGAGGAAUAUUGGUCAAUAGACGGAAGUCUGAACCAGCCAGGCCGCGUGCAGGAAGACGGCUCUAUGAGUUGUAAACUGCUUUUGUACGAGGGUAAACCCAGGGACGUGUCCUUGGUUGGAAGUACCGUACGAAUAAGGAUCGGCUAACUCCGUGCCAGCCGCCGCAGUAA
rnacentral:rRNA from 1 species